rnacentral:rRNA from 1 species
CCUACGGGAGGCAGCAGUGAGGAAUAUUGGUCAAUGGACGAGAGUCUGAACCAGCCAAGUAGCGUGAAGGAUGACUGCCCUAUGGGUUGUAAACUUCUUUUAUAUGGGAAUAAAAUGUUCCACGUGUGGGAUUCUGUAUGUACCAUAUGAAUAAGGAUCGGCUAACUCCGUGCCAGCAGCCGCGGUAAUACGGAGGAUCCGAGCGUUAUCCGGAUUUAUUGGGUUUAAAGGGUGCGUAGGUGGAUUGUUAAGUUAGUUGUGAAAGUUUGCGGCUCAACCCGAAAAUUGCAGUUGAAACUGGCAUUCUUGAGUACAGUAGAGGUAGGCGGAAUGUGUGGUGUAGCGGUGAAAUGCUUAGAUAUCACGAAGAACUCCGAUUGCGAAGGCAGCUUACUGGACUGCAACUGACACUGAGGCUCGAAAGUGUGGGUAUCAAACAGGAUUAGAUACCCGAGUAGUC